rnacentral:lncRNA from 1 species
GGCGACCCCGAAGAAGGAGGAGGAGGAGAAGGCGACGGCCCCGAAGAAGAAGGAGAAGGGGGAGAAGGCUGCUGCCAAGAAGAAAAAGGACAAGGGGGAGAUUGCGGCGUCCCUGGACAAGGAGGAGAUGGGGGACACGCUGGCCAACCUCAAGAAGAAGAAGGAGGAGGAGGAGAUGGGGGACACGCUGGCCAACCUCAAGAAGAAGAAGGAGAAGGAGGAGAUGGGGGACACGCUGGCCAACAUGAGAAAGAGGAAGCACGGCGAUCUGGAAUCCCCAAAGGCGGCGAAGAAACACAAGGGCAAGGCGGCAGGAGCGGCGCCGGCGGCAACCGAGCCCGGCACCUGCAGCUUCCCGAUGGCGCGGGUGCGGGUGCUGAUGCGGGACAAGGACGCCACCAUCCGAUCUAACACCGAGACCGUCUUCCUCGUCAACAAGGCCUCGG